UGGGGUGUCGCCAAGCGGUAAGGCACGGGACUUUGACUCCCGCAUUCGUAGGUUCAAAUCCUGCCACCCCAGCCA
rnacentral:tRNA from 1 species